rnacentral:RNase_P_RNA from 1 species
AGAGAUGGCCAGACAAUCGCGCCCCAGAAUAUCUGGUGGUGAGGAAAGUCCGGGCUCCAUCGGGCAGGGUGCCAGAUAACUUCUGGGAGGCGAGAGCCUACGGAAAGUGCCACAGAAAAUAUACCGCUCGUUACCCUUGUGGUAGCAAGUAAGGUUGAAAUGGUGCGGUAAGAGCGCACCGCAUGACUGGCAACAGUCAUGGCAGGGUAAACCCCACCUGGAGCAAGACCAAAUAGAGGAGCAGUUCACUUCGGUGAACAGGUACGGCCCGUAUUGUUCCUGGGUAGGUUGCUUGAGGCAGACGGUGACGUCUGUCCCAGAUGAAUGAUUGUCCACGACAGAACCCGGCUUAUCGGCCAUCUCUUUUU